rnacentral:rRNA from 1 species
AUUGAACGCUGGCGGCACGCCUAACACAUGCAAGUCGAGCGGCAGCGCGAUUAGUAGCAAUAAUAAUUGGCGGCGAGCGGCGGACGGGUGAGUAACACGUAGGAACCUGCCCAGAAGUGGGGGAUAACUAAUGGAAACGUUAGCUAAUACCGCAUACAUUCGGGAGAAGAAAGCUGCAGCAAUGUGGCGCUUUUGGAGGGGCCUGCGUCCGAUUAGCUAGUUGGUAAGGUAAUGGCUUACCAAGGCGAUGAUCGGUAACUGGUCUGAGAGGACGACCGGUCACACUGGGACUGAGACACGGCCCAGACUCCUACGGGAGGCAGCAGUGGGGAAUCUUGGACAAUGGGGGAAACCCUGAUCCAGCGAUGCCGCGUGAGUGAAGAAGGCCCUCGGGUCGUAAAGCUCUUUAGGCUGGGAAGAAGGUUGGUUGAGGAAAUGCGAUCGACUUGACGGUACCAGCAGAAUAAGCACCGGCAAACUCUGUGCCAGCCGCCGCGGUAA